AAAGUUUAAGUAGACCUGAUUCUGGAUGGACGUAUUAACUCUGAACCUGCUUUCACUCUGCUUUCUUUUUGGGUCCUGAAACAGAGCAUCAGUCGACGUCCUGCCCUCGCUCUCUAAAUUUCUCCCAAGCCUUGCAAGCACCAGAAGUACGAGCGCCAGAUCCUCUCAUCUCCUUCCCUCCCUUGACCUCACCUCUGUGUCCCACACCUCUCCAGGCAGCCCAUGCACGCUCCUGAGGAAGAAUGUGGCCAAUAUACUGCCAAGUGCUGCUAAAUGGAAGAAGGCAGAGGAUAACAAAAAAUCAAAAAGACUGGAGGAAGAUUUCUUCCUGAUGCUGUAAUCUCAUGCUGCUGUUUAUCUCCACCUGUGACUUUGCUUAUUCCUUCGUCCCUCUAUAAAUCACUGCAGCUGGUGGUGCAUUCACCCAACCUUUCUGCCAGGAUGGUGUCAAACCUCUUCCCAUCAGACACCUGAACUGGUCAAUUCCUACCGCUAAACACCACUAUUUUGAAGAAGGAAAACUGAAGUGAAAGCAAAUUUCAAAGUGUAAUUCUGAACCACAUGAUCAAGCCAGGUGUUAUUCCAUGCUACUGCUUCUGAAAAUGCAGAUGCAGCAGAUGCAGGCAUACGGGUUCAGUGAAUCAGGAACAGAUAAGUGUCAACUUUCCUCUGUGGUUGUGGUUGCAAAGACCCUUGUGCUGAACGUUUAUUCUCUAGUGUUUAGAAAGGAACAGUUUGAUUAUAGCAGUACUUUGUUUAAAAAAAUUUCUUGAUAACUACACUGAAAGUGGAUAUUUUCUGCUAUUACUUAAAACUCAGUGUUGGUUGCAAACCCAAAGAAAACAGGUACCCAUGUUCAAUAGCCAUACCUAAUACACUGUUGUGUUAGAUACCACAAUCCUAAUUCCAUAAGAUGGUGUUCUUGGAAACAGCAGAAAAUCAGCAUGGAAUAGAAAAAAUUUCCUCCAGAAGAUGCAGUUUCCAUUGUAAAACCAGUCGUUUGCAUUUUUAACAUCCCACCUUGCUAGUUUUUCUUCUUCUAUUGGGAAGAAGUUCAUAACAAGUUCACUCCUUUUAAUCUAAGGAAAAUGAACAGACCUCCCAGAGUUGAAAACCCGCUGUACAAACAGCAAAAUUAUUCCGACUUCCAGGAGUAAUUUAAUUAGAAGGAUUCUUCAGAGUGGCUUUUUUUUUUUUUUUUUUUUUUUUC
rnacentral:lncRNA from 7 species